UCGGAAGGUCGCCGGUGUCGGAAGGUCGCCGGUGUCGGAAGGUCGCCGGUUUCGGAAAGUCGCCGGUUUCGGAAGG